UAUAAUAUAAUAUAAUUAUAUAUAUAAAUAAUAAUAAAUUUGUGUACCUAUCGAAAGUGAUCAUAAACUUUUGCCUAAAAAAAUUAUUAGAUAUGACAUACUAUAUCUCGUAAAUCAUCUUAAAAUAUCUGCAGAUCCACACGAUUUUCAAAAAGGUCUUUGAAAAAGCCACCUCGAUAUAGAACUACUUCGAGUGAAGAGGAAGUAA
rnacentral:lncRNA from 13 species